UUUGCGGUGCGGCGGCUUCUGUUCUCAAGCAGUUUUGUAGCAACAGGGCUUGUGAUUGGAGGUUUUGAUUUAGGGCUUUGCAAAAACUCUUCUUCUCUCCUAAAAACACUUUUUCUGGUUUUGAUGGUUUUGUUGUAGGGGAAGCAACAUGGCCGUUCAAAAUGUCAACGUUGGGGUUUUGUUGAAAUUGGGUUUCUGAAUUUAGGAAAUCUUGAGUCUCUAUUUCGAUCUCGGGUUGUUGGGAUUCUAUGUUUCNCUGCAGGUUAGGGCUCGAAUUGGAGCUCCUGUUUCUCUCAUUUCACACUGGUCGAGCCGUGAAGAGGACCACUUUGAGGAUUGCUACGUUGGAAAUUUUCCUAUUCUUUUGAUUCAAUUUUGUUAUUUGGGGGUUUAGCUGAUAAUUUCUUAUUUGGGGAAAUUCUUGGUCAGGAAUUUUGUUCUUGGGUGCUUGUGUUCUUGUUCAUGUUAGGGUUUUGAAUUGGGAAGAAUUCAUUAGGGUUUUGAUGCUUGCAAUUUAUAUGAUGCGUAAAAUGAGUUCUGUGUUUCGGUGGAUGUUGUCGGAGUUACGCGGGUGGUGCAGCCAUGGAGAUUGUGGUGACUGACCUUAGAAUUGGCUUGGUCAAGUGGUGUCUGCGAAAUUCUUUUUGGGCCGGGAGUGAAUUUGGAUUGAUACAGUGGGAACCUAAUUGAUUGGGCCGCAGGCCUAGAGUUGAAUAUAAAUGAAACUAUUAAACUGCAACAAUAAGAAUGUCUAUUUGAACCGGGUUUGGAGUAUAGAAUUCGUGGUAAUGUGAUAUUAAAUAAUGAAGUUAAAUUGUAAAGAGAGAGAAGGUGGAUGCCUGAUAUUAAGUAAUAAAAUUAAAUUGUAAAGAGAGAGAAGAAAAUGGUAAUAAUAUUAAUUAUUAUUAUAAGGAGAAUUUUUUUAUUUAGUAAUUAAUUGGAAUCAAAUUAACUACUGGAAGAGAAAUUAAGAUAAAUUAAUUUGAAGUAAGAAGAAAAGUAAAUUAUUGGAAAUCAGAUUAAUUAACAUUAAAUAUUAUGGAAUUAGAAAUUAAUUGAGAAUGUAAUGAGACUUGAUUAAUUAAAAUAAUG
rnacentral:lncRNA from 1 species